UGUUUGGAAAGAUCUGCCGUAAUGCCUGAUCCGUCCAAAUCAGCUCCAGCACCCAAGAAGGGUUCUAAGAAGGCCGUCACGAAGGCGCAGAAAAAGGAUGGCAAAAAGCGUAAGCGCAGUCGGAAGGAAAGUUAUUCCAUCUACGUGUACAAGGUGUUAAAGCAGGUGCACCCGGACACCGGUAUUUCUUCCAAGGCUAUGGGUAUCAUGAACUCGUUCGUCAACGACAUUUUCGAGCGCAUUGCUAGCGAGGCGUCUCGUUUGGCGCACUACAACAAGCGGUCUACCAUCACGUCCCGGGAGGUGCAGACGGCCGUGCGCCUGCUGCUGCCCGGUGAGCUAGCCAAACACGCCGUGUCCGAAGGUACCAAAGCCGUCACGAAGUAUACCAGCUCCAAGUGAGGCACGCCCCGGCUCCCGGGAACCCAAAGGCUCUUUUCAGAGCCACCCACAAGAUCGAGAAAGGGUUUCGAACACGUGAAGGGUUGUUAUGUAAACGCAUCCGAUGUGUUCUCCUUAGCGGUUCCUUGGUUAAUGGAAGGAUGUUCUUGUUCUCCCUGCUCCCUGUAGAGGUGUGUGCGCGUGUGUAUGGGAGUGGAAUGGGAGAAUAUCUGCUUACGGAGGUUGGGUAUGGAAUGGCGACCCAAAAUAACAAUGUGGGAGGCAAUCAAGAGACCGGGUGUCCACCCUCGUCUUUGCUCAAGGUUAUUGACGCUUCACUAAAUAAAGUAGGAACCCUGAACUCAAGUGUCCUUAGCGUGUGGAGAGUGCCAUUUCCGGGGCUUGCGGGCAUGGACUCAAUGUUUAGUUUUGUGUUCGUGUGGUGUGAGCCUGUGGGUGAGGAACGCAGGUCACCUGCCCCCAGUGGGACCUCGUGCCAGUCUCUCCACCUCCGUGUCCCUGAUGGGUGAACCCGAAGGACGCUCUUGGAUAUUUGACAACCGAAAGGGAAAACGG